rnacentral:snRNA from 1 species
GUGCUCACUUUGGGAGCACACCAAAAUUGGAAUGAUACAAAAGACUAGCAAGGCCCUGGCAUAAGAUGACAGACUCAUGAAGUGUUAAAAAACAAU